GCAAACCCUAACUUAGAACUUCUCCUUCGCUGCGGCCAAAUCCUUCUUCUUACUUCAGAUAGUCAGUGUUUUCUUGUUUGCUGCGUCCAGCCAUGUCGAUCGGGGAGCUCCCAUGCACAUACGCUGCUCUCAUCCUCCAUGACGAAGACCUCCCCAUCACGGCGGAGAGGAUCGCCACCCUGGCGAAGGCAGAGAACGUGAAGAUCGACUCCUACUGGCCGCCCCUCUUCGCCAAGCUCGUCGAGAAGAAGAACGUCGAUGAUCUCAUCUUGAGCGUCGGAUCAGCUUUUGCUUGAACGGCUUUAGAUAGAAAGAUUAUCUUUACUUUAUUAUUUGCCCAUCUGAUUUUGGACGUACAGGAGGAGGUGGUGUUGCUGCUUCUGUGUCAGCCGCUGUUGCCGGCCCCGGAGGUGGUGCUUCUGCCUCCGCCGCCGCUGCGCCUGCUGUUGUUGAGGAGCAGAUGAAGGUCAGUGAAGUCUGUUUAUUGGGUUUUCAUGUUUAUUGGGGUUUUCUGCUAAGAUAUUAAUCUUAUUAUUAUUUGAUUAAGUAGUCCUUUAUAACGUGAGUUCGCUUACGUGAGGAUUUGUAUGUAUUUGGGGUAGAAGCAAAGAAAGUGAUGAUGGUAUGAGAUUAUCUUUGUUUAUCUUAAAUUGAUA